GUUAAUGCAAUGAUACAAAAACUAAGCAGAUGAAACUAUCUUUUGUGAAAUCUUCUGCAUUGCAAAAGAGCUCCCUCCCCUCUUUCAGCAGUAAGAACAAGUCUUGCCUCCAAAAGCAGGCUUUUUUGUCCUUAGGCAGUGUGAAUGCUGCUUCUAGUGUAGCUAAAAUGUAUAGAUCAUGACCAAGAUGUAUUCUGGUUCCAUCACUCUGUUAGCUGGAAAUCUCCAACAGACAGAGGAACAAAAUUUCCCUAAACAUCCACAUCCAGUUCAAGGCACAGCACAGUACUGGAUCAGACCCUACAAAUUAUAUCUGCAGUUCCUCAUAUUUCUUCCUAGUCACACUAGAGGAAGACUUUGAAUUUCAAGGUUAAAUUACAUCCACACUGAAUGUGCUAUGGAACCAAACUGCAAAAGACUCAUAGUAAACUCUGGGCAUUUGCUUGAUGAACAGAACCAAAUCUGGUUCCAUUGGAACAGAACAAAAUGUGAGUAGAAACAGUUCAGUCACUCUCUCAUUCAGAGAGAUAACAGAUAAUAACCACUAACAUAAAUGGAAAUUUCUUAUACCAUGCAAGACAAUGGGCAUACCUAACCCAGUGCCGGGUCCUCUGACUGCUUACUGCUCUCCAAGAUUUUAGAGGCAAUUCUAAACAGCUGCUACCCGAGCCUUUGACAAAAUUCUAGGAAUUAAAACAUCCUGAAUGCAAAGUAUGAGUUCUGCCACCGAACUAUGGGUCCAAAUGGAAUAGCUCCCUUCCACAUGGAAAGUCAUCCUGACAGAUCAAACUAGCAGGCACACAGGCUGGCUCCACCUGGGAAGCAGUUUCACUUGCAAUUAGCUGCUGGUUUAGUCCCUUAUGGAAGGUUAAAAAAAGCUCUCCUGCACAACUAAGCAAGUCUCCAUUCUCAUUCCUGGUAUUGAAGAACUUCUGGGAGAUAACAGAACAAAAAGAAACUGUUUUGGCAGCCUCCAGGACACAUACAGUUUUAUCACAAUGCUGUUCAUUCAGGUGGCAUGCCAGACUGACUGAUUCCUAUUUGGAAGAGGAGAAGUUACUGUCCUGCAUCAGCUGAAGCAGACUCUGUGUGGAGGAGUUCUCCCAAAAGCAACAUAAUGAAACUGCACUCUUUCCACACUGGGAAGACUCCUUAGAAAGUACUUACUGUCCCACGGGAUACCAGCGAUGUUUUGUUGUAUAAAACAUUUUACUAAGCUCUUCAA